rnacentral:rRNA from 1 species
UACGAAGGGGGCUAGCGUUGCUCGGAAUCACUGGGCGUAAAGCGCACGUAGGCGGGUCGUUAAGUCGGGGGUGAAAUCCUGGAGCUCAACUCCAGAACUGCCUUCGAUACUGGCGAUCUUGAGUCUGGGAGAGGUGAGUGGAACUCCGAGUGUAGAGGUGAAAUUCGUAGAUAUUCGGAAGAACACCAGUGGCGAAGGCGGCUCACUGGCCCGGUACUGACGCUGAGGCGCGAAAGCGUGGGGAGCAAACAGG